rnacentral:rRNA from 1 species
UACGUAGGGGGCGAGCGUUGUCCGGAUUUACUGGGCGUAAAGGGUGAGUAGGCGGUUAUAUAUGUCAGGUGUAAAAGGCUAUGGCUUAACCAUGGUUAGCACUUGAAACUGUAUGACUUGAGUGCAGGAGAGGUAAGUGGAAUUCCUAGUGUAGCGGUGAAAUGCGUAGAUAUUAGGAGGAAUACCAGUGGCGAAGGCGACUUUCUGGACUUAUACUGACGCUGAGGAACGAAAGCGUGGGGAGCAAACAGGAUUAGAUACCCUGGUAGUCCCU